UACGAAGGGGGCUAGCGUUGCUCGGAAUCACUGGGCGUAAAGCGCACGUAGGCGGCUUGCUAAGUCAGGGGUGAAAUCCCAAGGCUCAACCUUGGAACUGCCUUUGAUACUGACGAUCUGGAGAUUGGGAGAGGUGAGUGGAAUUCCGAGUGUAGAGGUGAAAUUCGUAGAUAUUCGGAGGAACACCAGAAGCGAAGGCGGCUCACUGGCCCAAUACUGACGCUGAGGCGCGAAAGCGUGGGGAGCAAACAGG
rnacentral:rRNA from 1 species